rnacentral:rRNA from 1 species
UACGUAGGGAGCAAGCGUUGUCCGGAAUCAUUGGCGUAAAGCGCGCGUAGGUGGCUUCGUAAGUCCGUUGUGAAAGUCAAAGGCUCAACCUUUGAAAGCCGAUGGAUACUGUGGAGCUAGAGUACGGAAGAGGCGAGUGGAAUUCCUGGUGUAGCGGUGGAAUGCGCAGAUAUCAGGAGGAACACCAAUAGCGAAGGCAGCUCGCUGGGACGUUACUGACACUGAGGCGCGAAAGCGUGGGGAGCGAACAGG